CUUCUUUCUGCAGCAAUGACACUCGCUAAGUUGGUUGGAGUUAAAUAUUAGCUCUCUGCUACACCCUACUAACACUAUGUGGGGUGGGCAGGAAGUAAAAGUAUUGAUGAAUGUUGCCUAGCCCUACCUUAUUGUGUCUUGUUGUUGGCAGCUGGGAGUGGAAGUUCAGCUUUUCCUUGGUCCUUGCUGAUAUGGAUAUUGGGGGAGGCAGAGUAUCAUUGAAUAGAGUGUCAUGUCAUAUUGCCUCAUUCUGCCCUGUUGCUGCAUGGUGGAAGCAGAAGACAGAAAAUCAAGAUUCCCCUUGGUCCCGCUGAUACGGGGACUCAUAGCGGUACCACCAUGGUGGCCUUGGAAAAGAUCCAGAACAUUUCUCUGAAUUAC
rnacentral:lncRNA from 10 species